rnacentral:rRNA from 1 species
UAAGGAAUAUUGGUCAAUGGACGCAAGUCUGAACCAGCCAUGCCGCGUGAAGGAUGAAGGUCCUCUGGAUUGUAAACUUCUUUUAUCUGGGACGAAAAAAGCUCAUUCUUGAGCACUUGACGGUACCAGAAGAAUAAGCACCGGCUAACUCCGUGCCAGCAGCCGCGGUAAUACGGAGGGUGCAAGCGUUAUCCGGAUUUACUGGGUUUAAGGGGUGCGUAGGUGGAUUUGUAAGUCAGUGGUGAAAUCUCCGAGCUUAACUCGGAAACUGCCAUUGAUACCAUAAGUCUUGAAUUACCUGGAGGUAAGUGGAAUAUGUCAUGUAGCGGUGAAAUGCUUAGAUAUGACAUAGAACACCAAUUGCGAAGGCAGCUUACUACGGAUUGAUUGACACUGAGGCACGAAAGCGUGGGGAUCAAACA